GGAGAGAUGGCCGAGUGGCUGAAGGCGCUCGCCUGCUAAGCGAGUAUAGGGCAAAACUCUAUCGUGGGUUCGAAUCCCACUCUCUCCG
rnacentral:tRNA from 1 species